rnacentral:rRNA from 1 species
GUGCAGCAGGCGCGAAAACUUCACACUGUGCGAAAGCACGAUGAGGGAAUCCCAAGUGCUUGCACGUAAGUGUAAGCUGUUUCUCUGUUUAAAACGCAGAGAGAGUAAGGGCUGGGGUAAGACGGGUGCCAGCCGCCGCGGUAAUACCUGCAGCUCAAGGUGGUGACCGUUAUUAUUGGGCCUAAAACGUCCGUAGCCGGUUUAAUAAAUGCCUGGGUAAAUCGUGUAGCUUAACUAUACGAAUUCCGGGUAGACUGUUAAACUCGAGACCGGGAGAAGUUAGAGGUACUCCUGGGGUAGAGGUGAAAUUCUGUAAUCCUAGGGGGACCGACCAGUGGUGAAGGCGUCUAACUAGAACGGGUCUGACGGUGAGGGACGAAGCCCCUGGGGGCGCAAACGGGGAUUAGAGUACCCCUGUAGU